UACGGAGGGUGCGAGCGUUGUCCGGAAUCACUGGGCGUAAAGGGCGCGUAGGUGGCGACUCAAGUCAACGGUGAAAGCUCGACGCUCAACGUCGAGUCGGCCGUCGAAACUGGGACGCUUGAGCACUGUAGAGGCAGAUGGAAUUCCGGGUGUAGCGGUGGGAAUGCGCAGAUAUCAGGAGGAACACCGGUGGCGAAGGCGGGGUCUCUGGGCCGGAUACUGACGCUGGAGGAGCGAAAGCGUCGGGGAGCGA
rnacentral:rRNA from 1 species